rnacentral:rRNA from 1 species
GACGAACGCUGGCGGCGUGCCUAAUACAUGUAAGUCGAGCGGACUUUCGGGAGCUUGCUCCCAAAAGUUAGCGGCGGACGGGUGAGUAACACGUGGGCAACCUGCCUAUAAGACUGGGAUAACUUUGGGAAACCGGAGCUAAUACCGGAUAAUUCUUUUCCUCUCAUGAGGAAAAGCUGAAAGACGGUUUCGGCUGUCACUUAUAGAUGGGCCCGCGGCGCAUUAGCUAGUUGGUGAGGUAACGGCUCACCAAGGCGACGAUGCGUAGCCGACCUGAGAGGGGGAUCGGCCACACUGGGACUGAGACACGGCCCAGACUCCUACGGGAGGCAGCAGUAGGGAAUCUUCCGCAAUGGACGAAAGUCUGACGGAGCAACGCCGCGUGAGUGAUUAAGGUUUUCGGAUCGUAAAACUCUGUUGUUAGGGAAGAACAAGUACCAGUUAACUGCUGGUACCUUGACGGUACCUAACCAGAAAGCCACGGCUAACUACGUGCCAGCCGCCGCCGUAAAAC